CUCUUAUCGAGAGUUGGCUGAGGGAAUUGGCCCUAUGAAGCCCGGCAACCGGCCCGCUGUAUACAUUCAGCAGGGACACGGUGCUACAUCCAACAGACGUAAUGGUCUGAGAGAUAAGAG
rnacentral:ncRNA from 1 species